UGGGGAAUAUUGCACAAUGGAGGGAACCCUGAUGCAGCGACGCCGCGUGAGUGAUGAAGGAAUUCGUUUCGUAAAACUCCGUUUUAUGGGAAGAAAAGGACUGUACCAUAGGAGAAAGCUCCGGCUAAAUACGUGCCAGCAGCCGCGGUAAUACGUAUGGAGCGAGCGUUGUCCGGAAUUAUUGGGCGUAAAGGGUGCGCAGGCGGCUUUACAAGUUGGAUGUAAAAUAUUGUGGCUCAACCACAAACGUGCAUCCAAAACUGAAAAGCUUGGGUUAAGGAGAGGUAAGUGGAAUUCCGGGUGUAGAGGUAGAAUGCGUAGAUAUCAGGAGGAAUACCGGUGGCGAAGGCGACUUACUGGACUUAAACUGACGCUCAGGCACAAAAGCGGGGGGAGCAAACAGG
rnacentral:rRNA from 1 species